CUACGGGUCGCACCAGUGGGGAAUAUUGCGCAAUGGGCGAAAGCCUGACGCAGCCAUGCCGCGUGUGUGAAGAAGGCCUUCGGGUUGUAAAGCACUUUCAAUUGGGAGGAAAGGUUCAAGCUUAAUACGCCUGAGCUGUGACGUUACCUUUAGAAGAAGCACCGGCUAACUCCGUGCCAGCAGCCGCGGUAAUACGGAGGGUGCAAGCGCUAAUCGGAAUGACUGGGCGUAAAGCGCGCGUAGGCGGCUUGUUAAGUCGGAGGUGAAAGCCCCGGGCUCAACCUGGGAACUGCAACCGAUACUGGCAAGCUAGAAUGCGAGAGAGGGGGGUAGAAUUCCAUGUGUAGCGGUGAAAUGCGUAGAUAUAUGGAGGAAUACCAGUGGCGAAGGCGGCCCCCUGGCUCGACAUUGACGCUGAGGUGCGAAAGCGUGGGGAGCAAACAGGAUUAGAUACCCGGGUAGUC
rnacentral:rRNA from 1 species